rnacentral:rRNA from 1 species
GACGAACCGUGCGAACGUUGUUCGGAAUCACUGGGCUUAAAGGGCGCGUAGGCGGCAUAGCAAGUCCGGGGUGAAAGCCCCCGGCUCAACCGGGGAAGUGCCUUGGAAACUGCUGUGCUCGAGGGAGGUAGGGGUCGAGGGAACUUCUGGUGGAGCGGUGAAAUGCGUUGAUAUCAGAAGGAACGCCGGUAGCGAAAGCGCUCGACUGGACCUUUUCUGACGCUGAGGCGCGAAAGCUAGGGGAGCAAACGGG